rnacentral:lncRNA from 10 species
CUUGGCCUCCCAAAGUGUUGGGAUUACAGGUGUAAGCCACUGAGCCUGGCCAUUAAGUCCCCAUUUCUUUGGGGUCAACUAUUAGAGCUUUAUUUUGUUGCUUUAAAGGUGUCAUAUUUCCUUGAUUCUUUGUAUAUAUAUAUUUUUGAAGACUUGCGCUGCUAUCUUCACAUUUGAAGAAGCGGUCACCUCCUUUAGUCUUACUUGUUUCUUAUUAAAAUUUUUUUAAUGUUUUUUUUUAAGAGAUGGGAUCUCACUAUGUUGCCCAGGGUGGUCUCAAACUCCUGGCCUCAAGUGAUCCUCCCACCUCAGCCUCCCAAAGUGCUGAGAUUACAGGUGUAAGCUACCAUGCCUGGCUGUCCCCCAGUCUUUGUUGACUGGCUUUGGGAGAGAAAGACCUUCAUCAGUCAUCCUAGCUAAGGAUUUGAGGGAUCGCUCAGAUCUUUUCUGUAGAUACACCCACUCUACUCCUGUUGCUCCCUCUUAGGGAGAGAAGUCUUAGGUUGUAAGCUCCUCUCAAUCCUCCAAAGCUGGGUCUACACUGAGCACCUCCCAUUUUCCCUAAUGCAGUGCUCUGAAGCAUUCAAGGUUGGGCACCUUCUCCCAGUCCAGCAGAGUCAAGCCGGCUGCUCAGAUUUGCAUCUGCCGUUGAGAUCUGUGUACUGUUUGGGAGGAGGGUGCAUGAGACACCAUAUGCUCAGGGGUACGUGGAGUGCUGGGGGCAUGGAUCAGUUGGUUGGGGGGCCCACAGGCAAGUUGUUCUGUGGGUUCAUGGGCGGGCCUCCUGGUGGAGUGUUAGCUGGUUAGUGGGAUCCAUGGCUGGCUGUUGGUUGCUAGGCAUGUCCUUCCCUUCUCCUAGCAGUCCCCAGGUGACUCAGCCAUGCUGAUUCCUCAGUGUUCUGGGGAGAGACACAGGUGGGCUAUUGGGCAGCAUCCUAUAAGGUUGGGGAAGCUGGUGCUCACUCAGCACUCAGUUUCCCCUGUGGGAGAAACCACAGGCCCAGGGGGGCCUCAUUGGAGGAGCACUAGCACAGGUAAACUGAACCUUCUUAGCCUCUUCGGUGUGCUCUCUUUGCCCUGUGGGGUGCUAGAACCUCUCAGUGUUUCUGUGGGGGCAUGAGGGCUGGAACCUCCUAUUCUGUCACCUUCCUGGCCUCUUCCUACAAUUAUUUUUAUGCUCAAAUUGCCCCCGAUUUGGACAGGGGGAGAGCCUUCAGGCUGCUCCUCCAGCCCUCUCACAUGUCCCCAACGUUGUUCAGCAUUUCCUUAUUUUCCAGCACUAGACAUUCUAAGGCUCACCCUGUACUCUCUCUGCUCUUCCCUGGAAAUAGUCAUUUCUCCAAAGAGUUCUGUUCCCUUGGAAUAGAGAAUGGUAUUUACAAACCAAGAAAUGGAUUUCAGGUGUGCCAGUUGUUUCUGGGGUGGCAUUGCUUCUAGGCCCCUUCGGUGGACAGAGCUGGGAAAGAAACUGUGUGUAUCAUAUAUAUCUGCACAUAUAAACUGUAUCAUAUAUAAUACAUCUGCACAUAUAAACUAUCAUAUCUGCACAUAUAAACUAUCAUAUCUGCACAUAUAAACUAUCAUAUAUCUGCACAUAUAAACUGUAUCAUAUAUAAUACAUCUGCACAUAUAAACUGUAUCAUAAUACAUCUGCACAUAUAAACUGUCAUGUAUAUCUGCACAUAUAAACUGUAUCAUAUAUAUUUGCACAUAUAAACUGUGUGUAUCAUAUAAUACAUCUGCACAUAUAAACUAUCAUAUAUAAUACAUCUGCACAUAGAAACUGUGUAUCAUAUAUCUGCACAUAUAAGCUGUGUGUGUAUCAUAUAUAUCUGCACAUAUAAACUGUGUGUAUCAUAUAUAAUACAUCUGCACAUAUAAAUGUGUGUAUCAUAUAUAUCCACACAUAUAAACUGUGUGUGUAUCAUAUAUCUACACAUAUAAACUGUGUGUAUCAUAUAUAAUACAUCUGCACAUAUAAACUGUGUGUAUCAUAUAUAUCCGCACAUAUAAACUGUGUGUGUAUCAUAUAUAUCUGCACAUAUAAACUGUGUGUGUAUCAUAUAUAAUACAUCUGCACACAUGCUUCUCUGUAUUGAAAACCAAAUUGUCACGGACCACUCCCAUUCUCACGCAGCAUUUAGGGCUGUGGCUAGCCUUUCCCAGCUGUAAGAAACCUGUCUUUCAGCAUGAUAAACACAUUUACUUAUUUGCUCAGUCCUCUAAUAUGCAGAAAGUAGUUUUAGAAUUGCCAAAACCAUACAACUUGGAAAAACAAGCAUGAUUACUUCAAGAUGUGUUUGUAGCUCCUUCUGUCCUGGCAUUGGACGUGGAGAGAAAGCACAGACUGUUCCAAGUUUCAUUUUUCCCCUUCUCUGAAACGCAGAGAGCGUUGUUUGUUUCUGUUUGUAUUUCAUUUGGGUCCUCCCUCUAGCCUUAUUCAUAAAUUUGUAAAUGAUCUUUAACAAUCUGUUAUAUUUAUGAUGUUUUACUGCGUGCUGCCUGUGAAAAUGUUUCCUUCUUCUGACACGUUCCAGAACAACUAGGCUUUUAAAUUCCAAAUAUUCCUGUUUCACAAUAAACCAGAUGAGGGCCUCUGUUGUGCCACAGCUUUUGGAAUGUGGUUUAUUACCAAUAGAAGUGGCUGCGUGGCUUGUUAUGGUUUCAAUUACACGUGAGUAACAACCGGGGCCCUUCUGUGUCAGGUGCUGCUGAUCAAGGCUGGCUAAUGGGGACCUCGCUGUCCAGAACGGGCGUUUCCCAUGGCCCGGCCCAGCUGUUUACCACUUCUGUCUACCAUUUCAGAGGGGCUUUGCGGAGAUUAAAUGAGGUGAAGCGCUCUGAGAACCUCAGUCCUAAAGAAUAGCAGUUAUACUGGUUUUUGUAUUAUAUUUAUAUAUUCUUCUUGUUAAUAUACUGGUUUUAAUGUUCAUCGUUCUCUUGGGAUCCCAUGACAGUGAGCCUGGUGUACCUGAGGUCUGGGAUACUCACACCUCUCCCCAGUCCCAUGCUCCCCACUGUGGCAGUGCCUGUCAGGGACCCUGCUGACCCCAGGAAGCCUCGGUGUCCCCAGCGCUGGCUCUGCUCACACAGGCAGCAGGCUUAGUGUUCUCUGGCCUGGCUGCACUGACUGGACCAGGGACAGGGGAAGGGCCCCAAAGCACCCUGUUCCAGGCAGCCGGCCAGUCGUGGCCGAGGAGCUCCAUUCAACAGUGGCACCCAGAGGGGCCAGGGUCUCAUAAAGCUGGUCAGACGCCCCCUCUGGGUAGGGGUGUAGGAAGCGGCUGUGCAGCCGGGUCCCAGGUAGGGAGGCAUAGAGUGAAGGCUGUGAGCAGGAGCCCUGGGGCGGAGGGCCAGGAGAAGGCUGGGCACAGGUCCAUCGGUGGCAGCUGGGUGGGCAGAGCAGAGAGGCUGCAUCUGCACGACGGCAGGGCCCUGGUGUGGGAACAGCAGACGGGGCCCCUGGGUGCGGCGCCUCCUUCCCACAUCCCUGCUGCUCCUGCAUCUGCUGCUGGAGAAGACCACGACGUGCUCAGACCCCGGCACUGGAGAACUCCAGAUGUGGUGAGGGCUGCACGUUAGCUGCAUACGCACAUCUGGAAGGUGAGGCAGACGUGCCCACCGCCUCCAUGCCUGGCCCACAGUUGUGGGCAUGCAGAGCUCCUCUGUGGCAGGCCCAGGCUGCACCAGCUGCCUGGAGAGGCACUGGGGGCGGGGCCUCACUUGAGGGGCAGAUUCUCCCACCCAGCCAGUCCAGGCCCAGCGGCUGGAGCAUCCCGUCCAGCAAAUUGUCCUGCAAGUUGCCCUGGAGACCCAGCGUCUCUCAUCACGUCUCACUCCCCUGCCAGAUGCCUCUGCGGCAAUAACGAGAGUGGCUCUGCCUUCUGCACUGAAUGCCGACAGGUGACCAGAACAUGACACUGGGGUUAUGCAGUGCCCUGGUUGAUAUUCUAGUUCAUCAGGGAGCUUCUGGAAUGAUUUUUUUUUUCUUUUUUUUUUUUUUUUGAGACAGAGUCUCUCUCUGUCGCCCAGGCUGGAGUGCAAUGGAGCAAUCUUGGCUCACCACAACCUCUGCCUCCGGGGUUCAAGUGAUUCUCCUGUCUGAGCCUCCUGAGUAGCUGGGAUUACAGGUGUCCACCACUAUCACUCAGUUAAUUUUUAUAUUUUUAGUAGAGAUGGGGUUUCACCAUGUUGCCUGGGCUGGUCUCAAACUCCUGACCUCAGGUGAUCUGCCUCCUCAGCCUCCCAAAGUGCUGGGAUUACAGGCAUGAGCCACCUCACCCAGCCAACUUUCUUUUGCUUCACUUUUCCUCUGGUUGCCCCAUCUUUAUUGUCAAGUCCUGUUAAGAGGAACAACAUUAAAAUGAGAGCUUUCAUGGCAAAAAGGUUGCUGUGGGUUGAGCUUGCAAUGUUAGCUGCGUGUUAGGAUUCAGCUGACAUCUGUCUCUGGAGUCUCGCCCUUUCUGUAAUUCGCUUUUGACUGUAAUAAAUGUUGUACAGUGAAUGUGUGGGUGGGGCCUCUGAGUUACAUCGGCUCAAGGCCUCUUUUAAGGAGGACCCAAAUAAGAGUGGGGAUUGAUGUAUUUGACUGGGAACCCACUCAGGGCCACCAUGCAGUGAAGCUCCGGAGCAGGGGUGUAGACGCCCUGCUUGAAGCGUUGAGAAGCCCCACAGUACAAGUGUGCAGAAGUCAAGCUCCUCCUGCUGGAGCAGGGACAGGGCAAUAGGGAAAGGCUUUUCCAGAGGCAGGGUCAUUGGGACUGGCUCUUCCGGGAGGAGCUGAGGGCACACGCUGGGCAGAGCUGACCUCUGUGUGCGGAUCGCCUGGGAUGGCGCCUCCGGUGGCCUCACGAUAAAGCACCUCAGAGGCAGGAGAUGAACUUGAGACCUGACCGUGAAGGAGUGAGGAGUGAAGUCCUCUUCUCAACAGAAGGAAACCAUCAAAGAGGUUACAUAAUCAAAACUGUGUUGUCAAAAUAUUGCUGGACAGAGAUGGCGGCUGGUCCGGCACGUGGGAAUGUUGGUGACAAGAGGUCAGUUCGGUGGCUCUUGGACCUCCCAGGCCAGGAGGGAAGCGCCCAGGCCAAGGUGGGAGCCUGAGAAUAGAGAUUUCAAGAGACGCUUCUAAUGAAUGCUCAUCAGAAUGUUAUUAUUAUUUUAUUUUAUUAUUUUAUUGGGACUGGAUUGACUUGCAUUUCCUUCACUAAUCAGAAGUUUGAGGGCAAAGAUAAAUCUCAAAUAAUCACCUUGCAUUUCUGAUGAGUUAAAUGAGUGUGUUUUAUGCCCUGGUUGUAUGAGCUUGCUUUUCCACAAAUAAGAGUGGAAAUUUUAUUUUAUUAUUAUUUUGUAUUAUUAUUUUAUUUUAUUUUU